rnacentral:rRNA from 1 species
GAUGAACGCUGGCGGCGUGCCUAAUACAUGCAAGUCGAGCGAACAGACGAGGAGCUUGCUCCUUUGACGUUAGCGGCGGACGGGUGAGUAACACGUAGGUAACCUACCUAUAAGACUGGGAUAACUUCGGGAAACCGGAGCUAAUACCGGAUAAUAUUUCGAACCGCAUGGUUCGAUAGUGAAAGAUGGCUUUGCUAUCACUUAUAGAUGGACCUGCGCCGUAUUAGCUAGUUGGUAAGGUAACGGCUUACCAAGGCAACGAUACGUAGCCGACCUGAGAGGGUGAUCGGCCACACUGGAACUGAGACACGGUCCAGACUCCUACGGGAGGCAGCAGUAGGGAAUCUUCCGCAAUGGGCGAAAGCCUGACGGAGCAACGCCGCGUGAAUGAUGAAGGUCUUCGGAUCGUAAAACUCUGUUAUUAGGGAAGAACAAACGUGUAAGUAACUGUGCACGUCUUGACGGUACCUAAUCAGAAAGCCACGGCUAACUACGUG